CCUACGGGAGGCAGCAGUGGGGGAUUUUGGACAAUGGGGGCAACCCUGAUCCAGCCAUGCCGCGUGAGUGAAGAAGGCCUUCGGGUUGUAAAGCUCUUUCGGCCGGGAAGAAAUCGCAUAGGCUAAUACCCUGUGUGGAUGACGGUACCGGAAUAAGAAGCACCGGCUAACUACGUGCCAGCAGCCGCGGUAAUACGUAGGGUGCGAGCGUUAAUCGGAAUUACUGGGCGUAAAGCGUGCGCAGGCGGUUUCGUAAGACAGAGGUGAAAUCCCCGGGCUCAACCUGGGAACUGCCUUUGUGACUGCGAGGCUAGAGUACGGCAGAGGGGGGUGGAAUUCCACGUGUAGCAGUGAAAUGCGUAGAGAUGUGGAGGAACACCGAUGGCGAAGGCAGCCCCCUGGGCCGAUACUGACGCUCAUGCACGAAAGCGUGGGUAGCAAACAGGAUUAGAUACCCUGGUAGUCCACGCCCUAAACGAUGUCAACUAGGUGUUGGGUAGGUAAACCUAUUUAGUACCGUAGCUAACGCGUGAAGUUGACCGCCGUGGGAGACGGCCGCGAGUAAACGUACGAAGGAAGUAGUUAGCGUGAGAGUGCGAGGCGACGACGAGGGAGGAGG
rnacentral:rRNA from 1 species